rnacentral:rRNA from 1 species
GUCAAAUCAUCAUGCCCCUUAUGACCUGGGCUACACACGUGCUACAAUGGGAAGUACAACGAGUCGCAAAGUCGCGAGGCUAAGCCAAUCUCUUGAAGCUUCUCUCAGUUCGGAUUGUAGGCUGCAACUCGCCUACAAGAAGCCGGAAUCGCUAGUAAUCGCGGAUCAGCACGCCGCGGUGAAUACGUUCCCGGGCCUUGUACACGCCGCCCGUCACACCACGAGAGUUUGUAUCACCCGAAGUCGGUGAGGUAACCAAUAGGAGCCAGCCGCCUAAGGUGGAUAGAUGAUGGGGAGAA